CAGGUGCUGCAUGGCUGUUGUCAGCUCGUGCUGUGAAGGUGUUGGGUUAAGUCCCGCAACGAGCGCAACCCCUGCUAUCUGUUGCCAGCAAGUAAUGUUGGGGACUCAGAUGGAACUGCCGGUGACAAACCGGAGGAAGGUGGGGACGGACGUCAAGUCAUCAUGGCCCUUAUGUCCUGGGCUACACACGUGCUACAAUGGCCGGUACAGAGCGCAGCGAAGCCGCGAGGCAAAGCGAAUCGCAAAAAGCCGGUCUCAGUACGGAUUGGAGUCUGAAACUCGACUCCAUGAAGUUGGAAUCGCUAGUAAUCGCGCGUCAGCAUGGCGCGGUGAAUACGUUCCCGGGCCUU
rnacentral:rRNA from 1 species